CUAAGGAAAAUAUCAUCUUCAGUUGUGAAAGACUUAAAAAAGUUUUUUAUUUUUUAAGAUAAAAAUAAAUAAUGGUCCGGGGCCUAUAGCUCAGUUGGUUAGAGCACACGCCUGAUAAGCGUGAGGUCGAUGGUUCGAGUCCAUUUAGGCCCACCAAGGUAUUUAUCUUAAGAAAACAAGCUCUUUGAAAAGUAGAUAAAUUAAGGUUAAAAGAGUU
rnacentral:misc_RNA from 1 species